rnacentral:misc_RNA from 1 species
GUAUAUAGUUUAUAGGCACAAGGCCAUAUGAUACAUUCUGUUACAUUCUUUGGGGUAUAUGAAAACAUAGGCCUGGUUCAAUUGCAAGGAAAGCCGUUGAGCAAUCCUCCCGACCGAGUUGCCUCGGAAAGUUAACUAAUCCAGGUCUACAAAACGUGCACAGGUGGAGAGAUAAAGAUGACACGGCGAGCACAUGCCCUCGAAAGGACCAGCUGCAACCGAGCCAAGUUCAUUCAAUAAUGAUCCUUCCGCAGGUUCACCUACGGAAA